rnacentral:lncRNA from 1 species
CCUCGGGCCCGUAACUGCGGGCGAAGAAGGGCUGGCGACUACACUUCCCAGAGGUCCUCGCGCGUGGGUCCCACCCGGGCAGCCGCGGAGGACGCCGCGCUUUCACAGUCACCCCAGUAGGGACCGCUAUCUGGGCCGAAGGAGUCAGAGAGUGGACUCGAGUACCCCUGUGUCCGCUCAUUCCGGUGAUAAUCACUGAGCGCCUGCUCUGCGCCAGGAGCGUGUUGCCGGGGGGCGAGGGAGGGGAGGGCACAGCGGUAGAUCCGGCAGGAAAGAUCCUGCUUUGUGGGAGCGAGCGUACACUCCUGUGGACGAGGUCAAUAGCAAAAAUGUAAAUCCACCAACUAGAUAAUUUCAGGUGCUGCCUUCAGCUGUAGGAAUAAGACAGUGAAGGGAGUGGAGCAACGUUACCUCUUCUAUGCCGUCUUCACCCUUGAGUCGCUACCAAAGGUUGGGACCCUGCUUCCUCAGACCAUGUAUGCUACGACUAGGAUCCUUGAUGAACUGGUGGAUACCACAGGGGGGAAAACCCUCAGGGUCGAAGAUGAUUGCAAGCUUUAUCAAGAGGAUGGACAUUAAAAAAAACAAUGCUGCAGGAGUUCCUAUUGUGGCGCAGCAGAAACGAAUCCGACUAGGAAAUGUGAGCUUGCGGUUUCAAUCCCUGGCCUCACUCAGUGGCUUAAGAAUUGGGUAUCGCUGUGAGCUUUGGUGUAGGUCGCAGACAUGACCGGGAGCUCACAUUGCUGUGGCUGUGGCCUAGGCCGGCAGCUGUAGCUCUGAUUCGAACCCUGGCCUGGGAACCUCCAUAUGCCUCCAGUGGGGCCCUAAAAAGACAAAACACAAACAAAGGAGACAGUGCUUUCCACUACUGCCGAAUGAAUAUAAUGCUCUGGAAAUUCAGAAAGAAGACUGAGUGGUCUAAGGAAGCCUCGCUGAGGCAGGGACUCAGUAGAGUGAGACUUAAGGAAACAAGUGCAAGAACAGGAGGGAGAGAAGGAUUCCAGGCUGCAGGAACUGAGGAAUCCAAAGCCCCAAGGUGCCUACAGAUUGAUGUGUUUGAGAAACUGCUGCCAAAUAGAUGUAGUGAAACAUGGAGGAGUGGGUGGGGUAGAGGUAGGGCAGAUAGGCUGGGGUCUGAUGCACAGGGUUUUGGAGGCUGUCAUUAGGAGUAUGGGUUGUACACUGGGUUUGAUGGAAACCACUGGGUUAGCAGCAGCAAUGGAAUCGUUUACUACUAUGAGGGGAUAAAAUAAGCUUUCCCUUUUGUCCCAGAAUCUGUAAGAAGGACUCAGAGCUGAGAUUAAAUUCGUCUACAUUCAAAAGAGAGAAAAAAAUGUCAUUUUUCAGAGACCUAGAAGAAAUAAUUCUAAAAUUUCUGUGAAAAUGCAAAACACACGGGUUCCCUUCAGUGCUCAGUGGUGAAAAACCAGCCUGGUAUACGUGAGGACUCAGAUUCUAUUCCUGGCCUCAUUCACUGGGUUAAGGAUCCAGCGUUGCCAUGAGAUGUGGUGUAGUUUGCAGAAAAGGCUCUGAUGCAGAGUUGCUGUGGCUGUGGUAUAGGCUGGCAGCUACAGCAACCAUUCGACCCCUAGCCCGGGAACUUCCAUAUACCACAGGUACACUCUUACAAAAAAUUUAAAUUAAAAAAGGGGGAAAAAUGGUCUCCCCGUCCUUUUAUUCUAUAUCUAUAUGGUGUGAUGGAUGGUCCCUGGACUUAUAGUGAGAGUCUCUGCCUGAUGUCCGUGAGUCAAAGUAUGCUGGACACCUGGCACUUGUACAGUGCUCUACUCCAUUAGUUCUCAAUCAACCUGGAAGGAAAAAAGGAAACCAAAAACCAUCUGGGGUCAGACACCUCAGGUCUUACAAAGGGGGUCCGGGCGAUGAAUUUUCCCUGCUUCGAUCAACCGGUGCGCCAAAGCCGCCCCCCCCUUUCCGGGCGGCACCCCAAGCCAGGAUGGGAAAGGCGAGGCAGAAACCUUGAGGGGGGCAAGGCCGCCCCCUUGUGGCCAAUGCGAGGCUCUACCGCUAUCCCAAGAUGAAUGUCAGAAAGCAAAGCACUCUCCACGUCGUCGAGAGCACCCAGCAGAGGGGUAGCCUUUAGGAAGCCCCCAAGGCCUCCCCAAAGUAAGGGCAAAGGGGCAUCAGAUGAGAACAGGCCGAGCGGAAGGGGAGCAGCCUGACGUUUCCUCGUGUUCAUGGUAAGGGGAUGCAAAGGAAGACAAUGGGGCUUUAGCUCCCAGCGGAGGUGAGAGAUGGAUGCGCCUCACCGCGGCAGGAGCCUGUGAAUCACCUGGCUGGGAGAAGGCACGGGGGAGGGUGGAAGAGCGAGCAGACCCUCCAAGUCCGGGGGAAGUGGGGUCCCUGGAAAGAACUCACAAACCGACUUGCAUUUUGGCUGUGGGACUAAAUAGCUGUAAUGCUGGAUGAAAUAUUUCUGAAAUCGUUUAAAGUGAAUUGGCGGGUUAGAAAACUGGGAAGGCAUACAGAGGCCAAAAAGGAAUCAAAAUUGAUAAUGGAGAGUGGCGGAACACUGAAAGCGACUUUUCACCUGGACGUCAUUUGACAAGUGAGGCCGACCCGAGCUUCAUUUUUAAUGCUCCUGUGAUCCCAGGGGCCAGGUGAAGAAACCCAAAUCCCAUCCAUCGUAGGGGGUCUACGAGCGCUCCCUUGUGCACCCGAGGGAGCACACACUCACACCUUUCUCCAGCCUGCGAGCUGCACCUGGCGCCCUCGUGUGGACACCGGCUCUAACAGCCACUCAGGUUUUCCUCCUCUUCCUGGCUGAGCAGUCCCCGGCGGGGGCUGCCUUGGCCUUGGGCAAUAGGCUAGAUGGAUUUCCUCGCCCCGCGUUCAAGAGAUACCAAGAAGUGCCCUUCCAAGUGGGCUCUUUGUUUUUCAAAGGCUUUCAGAGCCCUGGGGCCAACCUACGCCAGGUCUCUCCAGUUAAAUGCUCAGCCUCCGCCCCAUCAUGUCAUGAUAGCCUUCUUUUGCAUGUAUUCUUGCACUUUUGUAUUUAUGAAUAUAUAACUUUUUUUCUUUAAUUUCCCAACUGGUAUUAUUUGAUUC